rnacentral:lncRNA from 1 species
ACUUAUCGAAUUUUAAAUUUUAUUUUCUAAAUAUAAUAUUCUAAAAAAUAUAAAUUAUAAUAGAAUUUGGUUUGUGGAUAGUCCCCGAACCACUCUCUAAUGAAACUUUUUGGCUCUGCCACUGAUCACGACUCCGCCGAGUGACAAUGUGGGGGCCAUUUCCGAUUACGGUCAAUCAAGAAACCAUGAUAAUGGAGAGAAUUAAAAUGGAAACAGAAGAGAUCGCAGUCAAUCAAAUAACCACACCGACCGAGAGACUUGAAAUUGAAACUGCCGGAGUCACAAAGGAAGAGCUAUUUCUGAAUUCGGAGGCUCAAGAU